GCAGAUUCACUCUGCUCAUGGCUGCAGCUCCAGUCUUGUGCUUUUUCUGUCUGCUAGAGAAACAUUCCAGGAUGUUGUGGCUGACACUACGUAUCGGGGCAAUGCAGCUUCGGGGGGACACAGUU